GAUCUCUCUCCUAUACUUCCUGAUUAUGAUUAACAAUUGAUAUUUGCUUAGGCCUAAGAGCCAAAGUGUUAUCAUCUUCAUCAUAUCUCUUCUUCCCGACUUCUCCUAAAGCUUAAGGGUUAUGAGCUAAAUUAACUAUACAGUUCGAGAUUUGAGGAAGAUGGCCUAAAACUUCCUCUCCUUUUCAAACCAGAAACAUUGGUGGUUGCUAAAACAGAAUAGCCUUCCGUUUGGGGAAUCUCAGUAGCUCCCAUCCUAGGUGCUGACGUUUCAACAAACACUUAGAGCUUGUAAUCUUUAUGAUUGUGAACCUGAAGGAUCUUUUCAAUAGGGAAGCACCAUUCUUCAGGCGAUAUGGUAAUGCCAUUAUCUACGAGCAACAACAUCUAUAUUUGCAUAACAAUUUUUCAGAUGCUUCUCCUACAAAAUGAUCAGUUGAGCAUCUUUCAAAGAACUGCAAUCAGCCAUACUGCAAAUACAGUUGGUAGAAGCCUCUCGACGAUGCAUUCCAAAGUAACUUAGAGAAAAACCAUGUCUGAUGGUUCUAAGAAUCGACUAAACAAUGUUGAACCCUAGCAAAGAACAAGGUUGUUGUGGAUACCUUGGCAAAAUUAGUUGAAUAUAUAUUUAAAGAGGAUCCUAACGAUUAUCCUGCUCUUAAAUUCUUUAACAAUAACAAUACCAAGUUUGAAUGAUAUGCAACAGUUGAAAUAAAGCUGGAGUUGUAUCCUGUCAGCAAUCUAUAUAGUUUAUUUGUUUUUUCUUAUCAAUCAAAUAUUGUAAAAAAAAAUUAGUUUCUUAUUUUAGUUAAACUUACAGCAAACAGGAAAGGGCUAUGGACAAUCCUCCAUAUCUGAGGCACUUUUGUAGUAUCUUUGUAAACAUAAAUUUGCAUUCCUUACAACUUUGUAAUACAAAUAAUUAAUUUUAAA